AUGGCCUGCUGCUCCGCCUACAGGUCCGCGUUGCCAGCGUCCCCCACAUCCUCCUCCUCCUCCGGCUCAUCCUCCUCCUCCUCUUCGUCGUUGUCGUCGUCCUCCUCCAACUCCUCCUCCGGAUCCACUGCAUCCGAAGGUAGCCCCACGGUGAUCCGGGCUUCACGCCUUGCCCGGAUCUGCUCAAGGAGCUCCAGCCCGCGCUCCCGCAUUAGAAAUGGGUGGCUCCUCAACUGGCGGCAUGGGGGCAUGGCAACUAGGCGGACGGUGAGUGAAAAGUGGUGGCGGCGGCGGACAGACGGAGGAAAAUGUGGAUGGUAG
rnacentral:rRNA from 1 species